AACAAGGGCAUGAAAACCAGGAGCCAAGGGUCAUUGGGAACCAUCUUGGAGGUUCCCAGGCACCCCCCACCCCCAAAUUCUUGACCCACAGAAUUCAUGAGCGUGAUCAAAUGGUGGUUGUGUACGCCUUGACCUUUGGGGUGGUCUAUUACACAGCGGUAGUUAAUGAGAACAGAGCCAAGAGAAGUAUUCAUCCAGGUCAGAUUACCACCAGAGGGCGUCUGACAGCUCAUUCCCUGGGGAUGUCAGCUGAGCCACGGCACCUGCUGACCUGCCCCGGGGCGGCGGAAAUAGGGGAAAGGGCACUAGAGAGAGAAAGCCAAGGACGUGACCAGGUGACAAAUGGACAAGAAGAGGAAGAAAGACAGAUUCUGCCCAUGUCCACAGGCCCUGGGAUUAGGGCUGCGUGGGGUAGAUGCUCCAGGAGCAGCAAGCCAUGGGGGCUAAGAGCUCUUCCCUCUUAUUUUGGAAGCUGUCAUCAUCUGCUUUGGAGGAGCUACUUCUCCCUCCUCGGAAUCUUGAGGGAACUGUCAAUCAAGGUACUUUUCACCUUUGCCAAAGUUGAACCUGAGAUCCCAGCCAAGCCAGGACUUUGAACAUUGCGUGUAAUGACAUAGAUAGAGAAAACAGUUGAGCUGAGGUAU
rnacentral:lncRNA from 9 species